GACGAACGCUGGCGGCGUGCUUAACACAUGCAAGUCGAACGGAAAGGCCCUGCUUUUGUGGGGUGCUCGAGUGGCGAACGGGAGAGUAACACGUGAGUAACCUGCCCUUGACUUUGGGAUAACUUCAGGAAACUGGGGCUAAUACCGGAUAGGAGCUCCUGCUGCAUGGUGGGGGUUGGAAAGUUUCGGCGGUUGGGGAUGGAUUCGCGGCUUAUCAGCUUGUUGGUGGGGUAGUGGCUUACCAAGGCUUUGACGGGUAGCCGGCCUGAGAGGGUGACCGGCCACAUUGGGACUGAGAUACGGCCCAGACUCCUACGGGAGGCAGCAGUGGGGAAUAUUGCACAAUGGGCGGAAGCCUGAUGCAGCAACGCCGCGUGCGGGAUGACGGCCUUCGGGUUGUAAACCGCUUUCGCCUGUGACGAAGCGUGAGUGACGGUAAUGGGUAAAGAAGCACCGGCUAACUACGUG
rnacentral:rRNA from 1 species